rnacentral:lncRNA from 1 species
CCGCUUCCCGUCGUCCGCCGCCCUUGAUUGCCGUCGCGUCCUCGAUCUCAUCGGGCUCCGCCUGCAGAUCGACGCCAAGGCCAGGGCUGCCGCGGAGCGCCCGUCCGGAGCCAGGGCUGCAGCAGCUCGGCGCCAAGGCCACCGCCGACGCCGAGGUGCUCUUCCAGCGCCGGCGCCGACACUCCAUCUCUUGAUUUAACCAUCAUUAGACCACCGCCCGCUGAAUUGCAUCAGUGUUUCCCUUUCUUUUUUUUGUGUAUUCUGUCGACCUGCAGACUGAUAUCGUGCAGUUCAUGUAUUCUGUCGACCUGCAGAUAUUUGAAUCAAGACAAACAAAAUUGCGAAUAUAUUAAGCUGUCUAUAUGUUGUUUAUUUGCUAUUUGAUUGGGCUCAUCGAUGCUGAUCUGCGGUUGCCUGCAGGGAACUUUAGUUGAUGAUAUCCUACUCCGUGCGUUUGUACUGAACAUAUGCCUUUUGUGUGUAUGAGGCCCUUACAUUAUAGAAAGUUGAGACCAAAAUGUGUCUAUAUGCCUGUAUAACUCAAUACACAGUAGCUUUGGAGGCACCUCGCUCUCUGUCAAGUCUCUGAAAGCCAAAAAAGUUUCUUUCUAAGUACCAUAGUGUUGGUGUGAAGUCAGAAUCCUUCAUUUUCCCUCUACAGAUUUCUUCCAGAUUCAGCUUAUGGCUGGUUCUAAUUAAAAGCAGAUCGCGGAAAUGGUUCUAUUUGCAGUUUGCAACUGAUCAAACUAACAUGUUUCAGACUUUCAGUACACAUUCACUACAAAUUCAGAACACAACACAACAGCUCAACCAAGUGCAUCCAAUCGGAAACUGGAAAAAUUUCAGAUAAGGGGAAACCAAACAUGUACUGUAACAGAUUCAGAUAAGGGGAAGCCAAACAAAAUAAGACCCAUCCAAUCAGAAACUGGAAAUAUUCCAAGCGUUCUUUUUUACUGGAGGUAAUCUCUCUGGACAAAAGAUUUUCACCUCGAAGCAGCACCCUGUUGUAUGUACAGGUUCAGUGCAACGAUGCAGACUUGUUAGCAUUUAGCAGCAGCAAGGAUUCAGGAUCUUGACGAAGUCCAUUGGUUGAUUCAUUCAUGACAAAAGAACUGAUACAAUUCCAGAGUAAUAUUCAUGGAGACAAAAGAGCAUGCUUGCUUUCAUAAGGUCCCUUAACAGAAAAAUAGCACUUAACAGUAAGAGAGCACAGUUACAUAGAUUCAUGAUUUUGCACUCCAUCAAAAUGUAACUUCCUAACAACAGUUUGCGCUGUAGCAUCUUGAUCAACUCCCAUUAAAAGACUAGUGUAUCCUCCUGGUUUGUAUGGAACAGCCAUUGCAUAAGUAUUUGCAAAAAAAUUGAAGUGUGGCAUCGUGGAAUUAGCAUAUCCACCUUGAACAAAAGGAGCAUCCAUGGCUGAAGAUGCCCCAACAUUGAGCUGUUGUGUGAUAGCACAAGAAAGUGUUCAUAAAUUAUGCUUGUAAUGGAAUAAAUUGUGAAAAUAGCUAAUGCCUUACAAUUAUUUGGUUUGGCUCAGCACGUUCAUCUCUUGUUUCUAGAUCAUUGUGUGUCAGACCUUCACCUACAAUGCAAUAUAUAUGAUAACAAAAUAUUUAAAAUCAAUUUUACACACAUAAGCAAAAGGUAUUGAGCAGGUCAGUACCUUUCUUCUGGGCACCCUUCCUCUUCUUGUUCCCAGUGUUCUUUUCAACAACAUUUUUAAUACGUGUCUUCUUUGGACCUUACUUGAGAAAUUUUGAAUGAUAUUACACCAUUUAAUGGUUCUCGAACACAUUCAUUUGGAAUAGGAGGAAUCUCAUUGGAUUUUUCAUGCAUCUCACUUAGAUAAGUAUCCGCUUCCAAGUUCAAGUCAUGCAUGGCUUUCUGCAAUUUAUCAAGAAGUUGUUUUGACGAUGAACAGUUCAAUGCAAGAGAUGUGGCCUGUCAAGAUAUAAGUGCUGCCUGUGUUUUCAGAUCUGCCUCCUCAGUUCCUGGUUUGUGAAUAUAAAAUCCACUUUUAGCAUACUUUGUCCAUCUAGGCAGUAUAUAUUGUGAUGGCAAAUUGUAUACUCCAUUCCUAUUAUAGACUCUAAGAGCAUGUUUGCACAAUAAACCUGUAAGAUAUAGUUGUCAAUUUAAACAACCUAUAUUACAGGAUACAAAAUACCAUUGAAACAACUUGUAAGAUAAAAGUAAACAUACCUAUGCAUUCAAACAUCCGGCAAGAGCAUGUAAUGGUCGAAUCUUCGGUAUUCAAUACUACUAUUGCUCCACGAUCAGAUUGCAUAUACUUAACAAAGAAUGUCGAGUUUGUCCCCGCAGCUUCCAAUAAAUCACAAGAUAAUGUAAACUGUUUUUAAAAUUCUUCCUCAAACUCCGAAUACAUUCUCCUUGUAUAUGAUUCAGCUGCAGUUUUCAACAUAGGUAGAUUUGGAAUGUAGGAAACUGGGGUCUUUCGACGUGACUUAAAAUCAGCAUCCAACUCAUUUGACCUUAGACUAACUGCAACGUUCUCACAUUCUACAAGGAGUUCUGAAAGACCGAGUUUCCUACGAAAUCUUUUCUUGAAGACAUUAUUCAUACCUUCGCUCCUUUGGGUCGAGUUCAUGUCUGCUGUAAAAGAGUCACGGUAUACCACAGCCCACUUUGCCCUCAAAGCAUAUAGGUUUGACAUCCAUGAGUUAUUCUCAAGGUUGUAUUUAGCCAACAAAUCAUGCCAUUUCUGUGUGAAGUAAAUCUCUUCCCUGUCUUCGUAGAUACAUCUUUUGAAAUCUGCCCAGAACUUGUUAUCUGACUCGUUAUCUGACUCGUUAUCUGACUCGUUCUCUGACUUGUCCUCCGACGCAUGAAUUACAUGACCAAGAUGUUUAGCAGCAUUUAAGCCAAUAUGCCACAAACAAAGGCGGUGGGCUGUAUUUGGGAAUACAUAAGCAAUUGCUGCUGCCAUCGCCGCGUCUUGAUCUGUGAAAAUUGUGCUUGGGUGCUUUCCAGACAUUGCUGUUAGAAAGGUCUCGAAGAGCCAAACAAAUGAUUCAAUAGUCUCAUUGAAUAUAAAUGCACACCCAAAAAUUAUUGUUUGCUUCUGAUGGUUGGUGCCAAGAAUUGGAGCAAAAGGCAUUUCAAACUUGUUAGUUUGAAAUGUGGUGUCGAAGGACACAGCAUCACCAAAGCAUUUGUAAUCCAUGAUAGACUGACCAUCUGUCCAAAAGAAAUUUGCUAUACGACCAUCUUCCUUGUCCACCUGAACCGCAUAAAAAAAUGUAGGAUCUUGUAACUGUUUAUUUCUCAGAUAUUCAGAUAAUGUUUGUGCAUCAUUGGCUUCUAAGUAUUGUCUGCGUUCACGACCUAUCUCAUUAUAGCAAUCCAUCUUAGAAAAUGGUAUUUUGUCUUCCCCUCCGUAAUGCUCCUUCAUGAAAUCAAAAACUUGGGUUGGCUUCAUUCCAGCCCGCCGUAUCUGCCCAAUUAAUUUUCUAUCUGCCUCUAUAACCUCUCGUUGGGACCUCAGCUUAUGUGACUUAUUUGGACUAGCAAGAUAAUGGUUGUGAUCUAAUACGACCUUUUGCACUGUCCAAACCCUCUCUUUGCUGAUACUAAAUUGAACACGAGCAUGACAACCGGUCCUUGUAAUAUCCUUUUGUGAUGACUCAUUUUCUCGAUAUCCUUGGCUACUACAAACCAGAUGUUUUUGACAUAAACUACCAUCUGAGCGGUGCUUCGUCUUGCUCUUUCUAACACUGAACCCAACCUGUCCAUCAUAGGUGUUGUACAUCUCAUAAGCCUUUUCCUCAGAUUCAAAAGUCAUUCCAAUUUUAGGUGUGAUCAAAUUUUGUCCAGAUUUAUCAACCACCUCCGGUACAUAUGAAUUGUCAACUAAAGGUGUACUAUAACAAAUAUAUAUAUAUAUAUAUAUAUAUAUAUAUAUAUAUAUAUAUAUAUAUAUAUAUAUAUUCUGUCAAGUUUGUUACUUAUAUUUUUUUUACCUCAUUAGGUACUUCAUUCUCCACUGAUCAUACAUGUUUUAUUUGUUGUUCCUCUUCUCCACGAUCGCCACCAACAGCAUCAUUCAAAGGUGGAGCAUGUAAUCUACAUCAGAAAGCGAUUGGUGACUAACCGGCCGGACGGACCUUGACAUGGCGAUGAUCAUGAUCAAGCGAGGAGCAGCAGCCGCAGUUACCUGAGGACCGACAGCGACGGAGCAGCGUGCGUGCGAUCCAGCAGUAGGCGUUCCACUGACGUCGCCAUGUAGGUCUUCGCCGCGCCGCCUUCGAUGUGAACUGCUGCUCGUUCACCUCCACCGACGUUGUCGUGGCCAUCGCGCGCCCUUCCUCCAUGGCCGGCGAUAGGAACUGGGAGAUGAGUUGACGGGAAGUGAUCGGGCCGGGAGAGGCGGGCGCUACGAAGGAAAAGACGCGGGAGGCGGAGCCGAUCCAAUCUGUGCUGUGCUCGAUCAACGGAAUUUCUCGAUCGAUGAGGUGAAAAUCUUUGGGUGAUCCGAUCUGUGCAGCGCCCGAUCAUGAAGCUCGAUCGACAGGGCAAACGAUCAAUGGGGCAGCGGACACGGGCGAGCCGACGGAGGAGAUCGCGAGCCGACGCGGGCGAUGGACGAGCCGCGAGGGAAAUCCCUUCAGAAACGAGCCAUCGCGCGCGGGAGCGUCCGAUGAGAAGCCUGCGGCAUCGGGGGCGUGGAGCGCCAGGCGCCCACCCAAGUUUUUGCCAUAUUAUCAAAACAAUAGACCUGGGCAUGGGCGACCAACCCCAAAGCCUGGUGUCUGGGAUCAAGACCAGGCCUCGGUUUCUCACCCAAAGUCCAGCCCGAAAAAGCCCAAAACGGAUUUAAAAUGAGAAUUUUCUGAAGAAUUGGGUAUAAAAUCAUUGUUUCUGAAACCUGGCCCUGCCCGGGGUAUACCUAGGUCUAAUUUCUAUUUUAAUAAAACUGUAGGAAAGAUCCUAAUAGUAAAGAUUUUAAACUUAGCUCGUAAUUGCGUCCAUCAUUUUAUCCUCAGGGCACUUAUCAACAGACGUUCAACAAAUAGGAUCGUCUACUCAUGGUUAUUGUUUUGUUUUUUUGGUUUUUGAGAUGGUUUCUUCUACAUCACAGCAUUCUGCCAUGCACGAACUCAACGCAUCUCCUUAUUUUGUGAUGCUUUUUUACAGUGCGCAAAUAAAAAAAAUUACAACCGGCACUCGCAACAAAAAGUGUGCAAACACUAGAGCCAAAGCCUUUUUUCAAGAUCAGGCCCAGAAUCUCUUCGUUGUAUACUACUUUCGUAAAAGCCCAUUGGGCUUAGCCUUCUAUUCUACCAUUACCUCUUCACUUGAUGGCAGACACGGGCCAAAACAACUUCGUAUUAUUCACUGGCUGAAAUGCCCGUGCGUUGCAACGGAACAAUAAAAUAAAAUAUACAUUAAAAAAUAUACAUCAAAAUCUCUCUUUGUUCUUCUUUAACGAUCACCAAAUAUCCAUUUAAAUUUAUUUUUUUUCGAAGAUUGUGUCUCUAUACUCUAGUCUCUCAAAAUAAAACAAUACAUUUUUUUUCUGAAAAUUAUAUAACAUCACCUAGUCAAAAAAGUUUUGAGACGGAAUCACUUAAUUUUUUUAGUUCUCUCAACUAUCUCACUUCACCCGUUAAAACAAAGAGUUAGAAGGGGCAACAAAUUUAUGUUUUGCCAGCUUGAUGUUCUCUCUACUAUGCCCUAGGUGCUACCACCAUUCUCUCUCGCAGUCUGUCUCAUUAGUUUCUUCUAACAAUUCGCCGCCACCUUGUGUAAUUUAGCCCUAGGAGGAAACGGACGUGGCUGGGAGACGAAAGAGGGGACCAUCCGUGGCCGCGCCUAGGAGACAGGGGGGACGGCCGUGGCUUCGGUUCCUUGCCUGAUGGGUUCCCGAUCGGGUCUCAUCUUUUUCUCGUCAGAUUCGGAGUUGUUGCCUGACUCUCGUAAUGAUCCCGCUGGUGAUGAAUUCCCUCGCAGAGUUCCAGUACAAUUCGAUGCAGAUAAUGGGCCAGCCGGUUUAGUAGUUCCAAUCCAAUUUGGUGUAGGUAACGGGCCAGCUGGCUUAGUAGACCUAAUAUAGGUGCAACCUCCAUGUAGACCUAAUAUAGGUGCAAUCUUGGAGGGCUCACAAUUUUUUUGGAAAGUUUGACAGUGAAAAAAGUCCGUAUUUUUUAGAUAAAUAUAAAUAAAAUACUUUUUAGCUCUCUAAAAAAAUAUAAACUUUUACCGUGACCAUUUCACAUUUUUACCACUACACGGCUGCACGACAGAGCAAGUCAAAUACCGAGACAUAGGGCAUUGCUCCUCAUCGGGCACGGGAAACCCUCCGACAAGUAGGCCCCAGAUGGCAGCCUUUUAGCAACGAACAAAUGCAGCAUUGCAGCCCCUGUGUAACGCUCCAGGUCCAACCGGAUGACAGGUGGGACCCCUACAGAGGACGAACGUCUCACGUGACCUCCCAGCUGCAGCAUCAGACAAACUGUUCAUUCAUCUUUGACAUUUUGCUGACACCGUUGCUUGUUGUUGUUGGGUCUCCAGGGUCCAGGCCCUUGCUGGCUAUUGCAAGGCUUUGCUCAAAACAAAAUCAGCAGGGUUUCUCAUAAAAUGGAAUGAGCAGCAUUAAUUAACAACUUUGAUGAACUGCAGCUGAGCAACUGAACAUCGUAGGAUCCUUCCAACAAAGAGAAAAAAAAAUAGUGUGCAGAAGAACGAAUCCAUCAUUCACAGAAUUGUAUCGCCAGAUUGGUCGAAAUUUGAUCGGAGUUCUAGGUGCUAGCAAUACUCUUCAUCCCUGCAUGCCUAGCAUAGCAAGUAAUAGCGCGCAUGAUCCACAUUGCAUUUGCACCUGAAGCUUGUUUCACCUUUGAUUUGCAGAUUGGCACGGCAAUCAGAUUCAGAUUUGGGCACUGCAUUGCAAUGCAGCUCUCCUGGAGACUAACCUGGGCAUUUACAACCGAAGGAAGGAAUGCACAGACGCAUCACCUUCUUCCAUCCUUGUGACAGUGGAGAAAGGAGAACGGCGGCUACGAUGCCGCCGGCUCAAACUCGCCGCCGUUAGCACCCGCCAUUGCGGCCGUGCCUAAUUCCGUCUCCUUGAUGAAACGGCCCUGCAGUGCGGCAAAGGAUUUUAAGUUGAGGGAAGCAAGGAGCAGACAUGAAGACUGAGACUGGUAAUGACACCAGAACAGGAUUCAGUAACGAAAUGUAGUAGCUCAUGUGUGUGCAGGAUUACUGGUCUGCAAGAACUGUAUUGAAUCAAUGGCAAAUGAGAGAAUUUGAGAUUAAUGUUUACAUGCUUCUGUCCAUGAGUUCUGAAUUCAGUAUGCUCAAUGUGUUCCUGGGCCCAGAAGAAUUUAUAGCCACUUAUGAUUUAUCACAGGUUUGGGCGCUAAUGAAUUCCUUGGCGUGCAGGAUCUAAUCCUUUUUCCAUUCAAGUGAACUAGCAUUUCAGAAUCAGACCAUUGCGGAUCUAAUUAACACCCUAAAAUGCAGGAUUAAAGGCACAUGAACGAACGAAGCAGCAGCUAGCAACAGCUUCAGACAUUGGAUGGAGGGUGAUUGAUUGAUUGAUUGGAGUACCUUGAAGCGCGGCCGCCGGACGGCAUUGAUCCGGCGAACCUCGUAGCGGAUCCGCUUGGAGAAUAGCCGCGCCUGCCGCUUCUCCUUGUACCGCCGCACCCUCUCGGCCCUCCCCCGCGCCGCCGCCGCCCUCUCCGUCUCCGGCGCGCUCCACGCCGACGGCGCCACCUCGACGAACACCUGCACAGCCAUCCCCAGAGUCACGGCUGCUCGCCUCCGGGAAGAACAUCUACGGCCCAGAAGAGAAGACCAAACAGGGGGAUGGGGUUUUCUUCGAUUAGCCUUGAUUACCGAAUCGAGCAGCUCGGGCUCGAGCUUCGGCGCGGCGGCGGCGGCGGUGUAGAGCGACCCCCGGCCGUUCCAGGCGGACAGGAUCCCGUCGUAGUCGAGCUUCAGCCGCGGCGGCGGCGAAGAAGAAGAAGACCAGGCGGCGGCACCCGUACUGGCGGCCGAGGAGCACGAGGACGACGUCGUGGUGGUCGGCGGGGAGGAAGAAGAGGAGGUGCUCCUGCUGCAGUACACCCACCGCUCCCUCCCCCGGAGCGCGCGCCGCGCCAGGUUCUCUGCCUCCUCCUCCUCGCCCUCGAACCCUCCGGAGGCGGCGUCCGGUGAGGGCGCACACGACGGCGGCGAGCCCCCUCCUCCGCCAGAGGAAGGGGAGGCGGCGCCGAGGAUGUCGGUGAGCGACGGCGCCGCCGCGAACAGCGUGGCCUCCGGAUGCAGCGCGAACGGCUCCAUCUGCUGCUCCUCCCCGCCACCGUCCCCCUCUUCCUCCGCCGCCACCGGCGAAACCGAAGGGGAAAACUCCAACAACAACGGCGACGCCAUAGAUUCGGUCGAGCCGUCCUCCUCCUUCACCUCCUUCACCCCCAUGGCAUUGAGGUGGCGGCUCAGGCUGAGGUACUUGGUCUUCCGCUUCGCCUUACCCCGCCGCCGCCGCCAGCCGCCGCUCGCCAUGGCUCUCUCCUCGAACACCGCGAAGUGGGGGAAGGAAAGGGCGAGAAGCUUCGGGUAUUUGGAGGGAAAGCAAGAGGAUCUCCCGCGAAAAGGAGGCGCUAAUAAGCCUUUUGUCAAACAAACAAAAAAGGAGGCGCUUUUCCCUUGAUCCUGCGCUGACGUGGCAGGGGCUCCUGCUGACAUGGCGAGACGUCAUUGGGUGGCCGGAUUGCGGUGUCGACCUUUUCGUGUGGGGUCGUUGCUUAGAUCACGGGGUGUUUGUGAGAUGAGGUGGGCUUUCACAUCAACGCCGUUGCAACGUUCAAUAUGCUCCUCCCUGAAAUUAAUCCACCUAUUUUUUUAGUUAAUCUUUGAUCUAAGCUCCUCAAAUAAUCUUAAUUGAAAACAUGUCGAAUCGAGUACGUAAGUGUGGUGUUAUUUCACUCUUUGCUUACGACGAUCAGAGGGAAUAGAGCUGACUCUCGGUGACAAGUAAAAGAAAAACACGGGAAUAUUGGGGUUUUCUUUUUUGCCUUAAAAGCAAAGGGAUCAUGAUCGUGCAUCACAUCACAACACGCGCUACGAAAAAGAGACAUGCGAGGAAGAAAGUUCAUUGCUCAGUUAGCAAGGAAAACCGAUGUCCUUGAACUUAGAUGGAUGGUCGUGGAAGAUUUCAGACCGACAAUUAGAGUGUACCGAGGGACGAGGGAUGGGGCAAAACGAUAGGACACGUCCUUGAACUUGGCCGACGAUAAAAGUGUGGUGAGGUAUAAAGGUAGGGCUUGUGAUCACAACGAGAAAACCUAACGUCCUUGAACUCAGAGCAAUGGUCACAGAAGUCGGAAGGUGCUAGCCUAACGGUCAAAGUGUAUGAAACAAGUUGGACGAUAAGGUCUAGUAGCAACCUAUUCUCAAUAACAAAGCAUGAUGAGGCGUUGAGCAUGGGUAUAUGCACAAAGAGAUUACCCGAAAUAGGUUAAUAUAAAACAAAGGCCGCACUAUGUCCUAAAACCAACCACAAGAACUAAAGCUAGCUCUUCGACUGACAUGGAUCCAUAUACUCAUAUGUCAAACUUCUUAAAUUUUGACCAUGUUUAUUGAAAAUGUAUCAAUAUAUAUGACUCUAAAUUACUUUUAUUAGAUCCAAAUUAUAUAAAUUUUCAUACUCCCUCCGUCCAACAAAAGAUGGAUGUACCUGACUUAGUGUAUUGAUUCAUUCAAAUUUAGUCAAAGUUGAAAACAAGGAAGUAAAUACUUAUUUGAUACUCUAGAUAUUGACACAUUCAUUUAUAGAUCAAAUUAAACCUUAAUAAAUUUGACUUGACACAAAGUUCAAACUAUUUAUAUUUAAGAAGAAAGGUUGUCAUUUGUUAGCAUUGACUUUCCCAGAGAGACUCUUCCCAGGAAAGAAAACAUAACAGUUUUUUUUUCUUUGCCAAAUGCUAUAGACUCUUCAGGACAAGGACAACAAGUAAAGAAAUGCCACAUGCAUCCUAACGCUAACAGCCAGGCGAUUACACGACUGUUGCAUUUACCCAUUUACCCUCUCACCGUUUGAGUCGUCCAGCUAGUCACGGGUAGCGUAGCAGCCUAGCAUUGGCUCUGCUCAGUGGCUCUGACCGACUGACUGACACGGGCGACGCGUGCAACGAGAACGCAAUGCGGUGAGGGCAAUGCCUUUGACCCUGACCACUCCUGUGACUUGAUUUAAUUUAAUUUAAUUUUGACAUAUUGUUUUCGUCCAAUAAAAGAUUUCUUAAUUUUGAUUAAAUUUGAAUGCAUCUAUACAAUAAAUCAUAUCUAGACACGUUGGAAGAAGUAAUUUAAUCCGGCGACCUGCCUUUCUUUUUCUUUAGUGCCUUGGGAGGCUGUGAUGCUCCUUUCACUCCUUCUGCCCUGGUGCAGUCUAGAAAGAAGAUUAAUUCAUGACUCUAUUAAAAGAAGAUCAUACCCAGUGACACGUGUGCGGUUUAUCUUGUUAUAAUCAUUUUUUAUAUGUAUUAUUCAACAGGAGUUGAGAUACAAGUCUACCUAUUCACGUGUGUCGUAAGAUUUCGAAAACACAACGAUAGAAAAACAUGGAAAAAAAUAGUAAUUAAAUGUCAAAUCAUGUUGAACUCUAUAGGAAUCUAAAACACAUGACUAGGCAAUAAAACUGUUUGAUUGCACCACGGGAAAAAAACAAAGUAAAUUAUUUGAAGGCUUUGAUGCUAGCAUAAUUGUGAUAGAAACAAAGAAAAUUGUCUACGAGGUUGGACCUCUUGGACAUUUUUCUUUGAAACUGUAUGCAAAGUUGUCCAUAGGGAAAAAAAAUGAUUUCAAAUCCUCCAAAUCAAACGAGUUGUAUACGAAAAAAUCGUUAGGAAUAUAAUCCUCUAAGAGUCCACUAAGAACUCUAGACGAUCAUUCUUCAGUUUAUAAAUUUAUUCAUGGAGCCUGGUUGUUUGUAUUAAAGGGCUAGCUUCUUAAACAUGCAUUAGUUAACAACAAUUUCACACUACCACCCACAUAUUAUUGCCUCAAUACCGAUUCAUUUUUGAACGUCACUUGAUGCGACGAUGGUGACAACAUUUUAUACAUCUCUUUCCACCAUCGAAAGCACCCGUGUGAGUUCCACUAGUCGACAGAUGAAACCUUCCCCCUUGCCUCGGCAAAAAAUGUUGAUCUCCCUAUCUCUUAUCUCUCCCGGCUCGCCAAACCCUCUAAGCUCGCCAGCCGGCGCUCACCUCUCUCAUCUCGCCAUCAACAUGUUAACCUUUUGAGUCUCAAUAUGAUAGUAUUUAGCCAAAACCAUUACCGCCAUGCCCAUAGUCUUGGAUUGCUAGAUUCAAUUUAUCUCCAUUCGUCGUGAUGCUAUGGCACCUUCGAAGAAUCCUUUGAUCUAGAGACCACAAAUCGAGAGUCCACAAAAUAAAGUGCAUUGUCUUGUCUUCUUGGUCCUGUAUCACAUCGUGUUCUAGAAAUGAUAAGGACCAUUCAUUAUCCUCCACUAAAUCAUUCAUCCUACAGAAAAUGACAUCGAAUGAUUAUAAGUUUUAGCCGACACUAUGAACCGUUGGGUGAAGAUCCGAAGGACAUGAUCAUUGCUCUCAGACCAUACAUAGAACACUUCCCUUCAUCCUUCGUGCCAUGGCCACCACCCACCACACCCCUGUCAUCCUCAUCUUCACCAACCCUAUUUCUAUUUCACCACAUUGCUUUCAUCUCUCAUCGCUGCCGGCAAAUCGAUCUACCAUAUUUCAAUGCCUUGCAAUCUCUCGAUUAACCGAAGGGCUGAUCUCGAUCAACCAUGAUUUCGCUAGCUCCAAGCAGGGCGACGCGUGAACAAUGUGGCUUAUACUCUCUUUCUAAGCCUAACUAACCUAGAACAGCAAGACUGUUCUAGAAAAAGCUUAUGAUAAUCGAACUAAACUUAUAGUACAAACAGUUGUUAUAGAAUCAUCACAGGAUGUUUUCAUCAGAAUCCGAAACUUGCAGAAUUCGGACAAAACGAAAGCUGUACUGCAUUUUGAUGAAAGGGCACGACAAGAUUAGAGAAAGAAAGAGGCACACCACCAUCCACGCUACUCAUCACCAACCCCUCAAAACCCUUACUUAAUUAACAGACGGACGUGCGCCGCGAACGGAUUAGUUGGAGCGCAUCUUCUCGAGCUGGUUGAGGGCCGGCUGGAGGAUGUUGAAGAGCACCCACCCGAGGGCGGGGGCCACCACGAAGAGCAGCAGCAGGCCCCGGUUGUCGUCCGCCGGCGCCGCCGCGGCCGCCAUGGCCGCGAUCUCCCCCGCGGCGGCCGAGGCCCGCUCCGGCGCGGCAGCGGCCAUGGCGGCCCCGAGCCCGAGCCCGGCCACGAGCGCCUUCUCCGACCGCAUCUUGUUGAGCUGGUUCAGCGCCGGCUGCAGGAUGUUGUAGAGCACCCAGGCGAGCGCCGGGGAGACGACGAUCAGGAGGAGCAGGCCCCGGUUGUCGUCCGCCGGCGCAGCCGCCGCCAUGUCCGCCACCCGCUGCGCCGCCAUCGCCGCGUCGGAGGUCGCCAGCGAGCUGAAGAAGGCGCCCGCCAUGGCCGCGGAAGCCGCCGGCGACACGGCCAGAGCGGCGCCCUGUUUCUUGGCUGCUACUUUCCGCAGCGAGAUGCUCGGGGAUGAUGACGGCGGCGAUGGAGCCGCCGGCGCCGAUCUCGCCGUGAUCUUCGCCGGCUUGAGCAUGGCCAUCGUGGCUAUGGUCGCCAUUGAUCUGCGUCUAGAGCUCGCUAGCUUUCCACUUCUCGCUCCCAAGAACUCUUCUGGCAAAUGAGGCGUGAGGUUGUUUGUGUCCUGGGUGUGAUGCCAAUGCUCCUGCUGCGUUUCUAGAAUGGGGACUUAUCUGGUGCGCCCAGUGUGUGCUCCAGAUUUGAAAGCUUAUCUCCCGGCUUGCGCAAGCUGCGAUUCCAUUGGUUGGGAGCUACAUAGUGGGUCCUCCAUACGAUUUACAUGGAGACUUUGGAAGAGAAUGUAAUGGGUGAAAUUGUUUGGAAAGAUCUUGUAAUGGCUCUAGAAUGGGAAUAUCCUUACGGUGUAUCAAAUGGUGAAUAGGUUGUUUGGACAUUGUGAUGGCUCUAGAAUGUACUCAUAUCUUUAUCUUUAUAUGGUGUAUCAAAUGUCAAAAUCCAUCGUUAAGGUUAUAGUGGCCAAACAAGACAAGUGAAUCGAAUUAACCCAACCGCUCCUCUCACCAAAAGAAGAAGUGGCUUAUUCUUCGGUUCACUAUAUUCGUCGUCACCCGUCAAUUUUAUUAUACUGGCAUCAAUAUUGUUUUAGAGUACUAAUAAUUAGCAAAAUCCUAUCAAUAAGAAAAGAGAUCCAAAACAUCGACGAAAGAAACCGAGGAAAUGAACAAGGUAUACAUGUAACAUCCAAAACAAUGGUACAGUUCAUGAAUUGCUUCAUGCACAAUAUGAAUGGUGAACAACCAGAUUAGAUACAGCAAGGAAAAUGAAAUACGGUAGCAAAUUAUUCACUCCCUAAAACAGAAUCGCACAAGGGGAAUAUCCUGCGUUCCAUCCGUUUAUUCGUCAGGGUAGAUAGAAGAGAACCAUGGAGCGAAAGACAAAACAAAUGGCAGCCUGAUUACAACUUUCAACAUCUCCCGCUCCCGAGGGAGAGAAACCUGCUCCUCCACCCGCUCGAUCAGGCUCCGAGUUGCAGCUUCUUGAUCGUAUCGAUCUGCUUCGCUGGGUUCAGGCCCUUAGGGCAGGCAUGUGUGCAGUUCUUGAUGGUGUGGCAGCGGUAGAGCUUAAACUCGUCGUUGAUGGAGUCAAGGCGCUCCUUUGUGUACUGGUCACGGCUGUCCUGGAUCCACCUGGAAGGAGGAAUGAACACAGUAUUGCAAGCAUAUUAUGUGUCUGGGAUUUUGCAGUCUUGAAACACUCCAUCACGGUAAAAGCAUCUAACGACUCACCAACUGAUACAACCAUGCCUUUUAUUUCCAGAAAGCCAGUAACAACUAGAAGAUUUCAGUUUCUUAUGACUAAGGGUACAUGAUAUUCUUUAGUCAAAAGAUAAUAAUAUCUGAACUUCAGAUAGAUUCUAUCAGGUCAUAUUUUAGAUUUGAAGUCAAGACAUGCACAUUAAUUCAUUUUGAGUUGCUGCAACUAUGGUGGUACCCAAGUCACAACUCAUAAGCUUAAUUACAAUAUAUAAGAUCACCAGACUGGAAUUAAAACACAGUGCACAGCACAAUAAAACAUCAAAUAAAGCGCAUAAUAAGAGCCAACUUGUAGAAUCCUUGAACAAUCAGGAUCUUUAGUUUCACAAAUGCUGAAUCGCAUGAAAGACAGUACAUCAUUACACUGGUUCAAUUAGGUAAAGAAAGAUGCAAACAUCGGUUGCUGGCAAAAACAACUUGACAGAUAGCCGCAGGGAUCACUGAAAGACUGCAGAGGCAACCUUAUUUGACUGGACUACUGCAGAGCUACUGCUUUGUCCUACUGGUCUGUUAAAAACUACCAAGAUGCUUUCUUAACACCCAUGACUUCGCCCUUAUUUGCCAAUGUGCGGAACACGAUACGAGACAUGCGGAAUUUCUUGUAGACACCGCGAGAGCGUCCAGUGAAAAUACAGCGGUUUCUAAGACGUGUCAUGUUACUAUUUCUUGGCAGCUUGGACAGCUUAUAGCGAAACUUAUCGCGCAUUUCCAAUGGAAGAUCAGGGUCCCUACAGACAGACUUAUAAAGCUUUCCUCUCAGCUCAUAUUUUGCUGCAAGCAAUCUACGUUUGUGAUCCCUCAUGUUUCUGUUCUCUGAUACCCCAUGAUAGCCUCGAGCUUGGACGUGCAUGAACAUGCUGGGUUUUGGUUUGAUUAGCGUCCCCCACAGCGGAAGCCUAAAAAGGGUGAACGGGGAACGUGUCAUGGACUUAGCAACAUCCUAAAGCUUAGAGCAAAAAGAAAUGAACAUAUUAGACAACUAUUAUUGAAGGAAAGGGCACCCAAAAACUUUAGCACUAUAAGUUUGGUAGGUCAGCAACCAUAGUUUGCUGGCACAGUAGAAACUAUCGGGCUCUUUCACUAACAUAAAACUGACUUCCAAAUCAAGAAGGCAUCAAGAAUCAAACUACUAAGGAACACCUUGGCCAAACUAAAACCUGCGGUGCCAUCAGGAAUCAGACUACGGAACAGAUUUAAGUAAGACUCGCAAUGUAAUCUACAAUCAGACUAAGGAACAAAUUUACCCUAACUAAAACUCUCGAUGUGAUCCAGAAUGAAACUACUAAACGGCAGACUCAUGUGAAUAUUUCCUACACUCACAAAAACUUUCCAAAUACAGAAGUCAAACACCUGAAGAACAAUACAAAGAGUCCCGAAUUCCCUAAGAAUGUCUAGGCAAAAUGGAUAUUUCAUAGUAACCACCUAAUGAUCAUCUGAACUGCUUUGCUGUGGAGCUACCGGAAAAGGAAAAAAAAUCCAUCCCCACAUCAGGCAAAUGAACAAUUCAACACUACAUCAGAUUAAUGAACAAUUCAACACCAUACCGAUAGGACAAUUCUCCUAAGCGAAACAUUUCCAUGGUUGCAGAACCGAAAUUAACAACUUGGCCAAACUAAGACCUGCAGUGUCAUGAGGAAUCAGACGAAAGGAAAUUUACCCAAAGUCCCAAACUAAGACUCGCGGUGUCAUGUAGAAUGAAACUUCGAAAUGAUCGACUCAUAGGAAAUAUUUUCUACACUAACAUCAACUUCCAAAUAGAGAAGUCAAACACAGGAAGAAGAAUAGAAACAGCCAUGUAUGCCCUAAAAAUGUCUAGGCAAAUGGACAUUUCAUAGUAACCACCUAAUGAUCAUCUGAACUGCUUGCUUUGGAUCUACCGGAAAAGGACAAACAAUCCACGCCCACAUCAGACUGAUGAACAAUUCAUCACUACAUCAGGCUAAUGAACAGUUCACCACCGCAUCGAAUCGAACAGUUCUCCUAAACGACACACUUCCACGGUUGGACAACCGAAACGAACAAAACCAAGCUACACAUCAUCCCACAACCAUUUCGCAACAAACACGGCACAUCACACCAGCCGAUCAGUCAUAAAUCAUUCAGUCAUCAAACAGAUCUAGCACACAGAAUCAGCAUACUUGACAUAUUAUCACAAUUCACAAAUAUGAAGAGCCUACAAGGGAGGCCAAGGUAUACCUGUUGGCAUGGAGCAGCGCAGCCGGGCCGAGAUACUCCUCAGGGUUCCACCAGUAGGACGGACAGGACGUGGAGCAGCAGGCGCAGAGGAUGCACUCAUACAUGCCGUCGAGCUUGGCGCGGUCGGCCUUGGUCUGCGGGAUCUCCUUCCCCUCGGGGGACGGCGGGUCCUUGCGCUUGAGCCAGGGCUCGACGCUCUUGUACUGGUUGUAGAAGUUGGUCAUGUCGACGACGAGGUCCUUGACGACGAACAUGUGGGGCAGCGGCGAGAUCGUGGAGGCGCCCUUGGACUCGGAGGAGAUCUUGGUGAGGCAGGCGAGCCCGUUGUCGCCGUCGAUGUUCAUGGCGCAGCUGCCGCAGAUGCCCUCGCGGCAGCUGCGGCGGAAGGUGAGCGACGGGUCCUGCUCGUUCUUGAUCUUGAGCAGCGCGUCGAGGACCAUGGGCCCGCAGUCGGAGAGGUCCACCUUGUAGUCCUUGAGGUGCGGCUUCGUCGACGGCGAGUCCGGGUCCCAGCGGUAGAUCGAGAAGGUCUUGGUGCUCGCGGACGGCGGGGGAGGGGCGGGGGAAGAGGAGUGGGGCUUGGAGGCGACGAGGCGGGAGGAGAGCGGCGCCGG